GGCAAGAUGGCCGAGUGGUUAAGGCGCAUGGUUCAGGCCCACCUGAUCUCAAUAUUCCAUGUCUCGAAAGGGGCGAGGGUUCGAAUCCCUCUCUUGUCA
rfam:Tncinocarpus reesii 1704 scaffold_2 genomic scaffold, whole genome shotgun sequence.